rnacentral:rRNA from 2 species
UACGUAGGUGGCGAGCGUUAUCCGGAAUGAUUGGGCGUAAAGGGUACGUAGGCGGCCAGAUAAGUCUGGUGUGAAAGGCUGCAGCUCAACUGCAGCACUGCACUGGAAACUGUCCGGCUGGAGUGCAGAAGAGGGCGAUGGAACUCCAUGUGUAGCGGUAAAAUGCGUAGAUAUAUGGAAGAACACCGGUGGCGAAGGCGGUCGCCUGGUCUGCAACUGACGCUGAAGUACGAAAGCGUGGGGAGCAAAUAGG